UGCAGUCGAACGCUGAAGCCCAGCUUGCUGGGUGGAUGAGUGGCGAACGGGUGAGUAACACGUGAGUAACCUGCCCUUCACUCUGGGAUAACUCCGGGAAACCGGUGCUAAUACUGGAUAGGACUCCUGCCUGCAUGGGUGGGGGUGGAAAGAUUUAUCGGUGGAGGAUGGACUCGCGGCCUAUCAGCUUGUUGGUGGGGUAAUGGCCUACCAAGGCGACGACGGGUAGCCGGCCUGAGAGGGUGACCGGCCACACUGGGACUGAGACACGGCCCAGACUCCUACGGGAGGCAGCAGUGGGGAAUAUUGCACAAUGGGCGAAAGCCUGAUGCAGCGACGCCGCGUGCGGGAUGACGGCCUUCGGGUUGUAAACCGCUUUCAGUAGGGACGAAGCUCUUGUGACGGUACCUACAGAAGAAGCACCGGCUAACUACGUGCCAGCAGCCGCGGUAAUACGUAGGGUGCGAGCGUUGUCCGGAAUUAUUGGGCGUAAAGAGCUUGUAGGCGGUUUGUCGCGUCUGCUGUGAAAGCCCGGGGCUUAACCCUGGGUCUGCAGUGGGUACGGGCAGGCUAGAGUGUGGUAGGGGAGACUGGAAUUCCUGGUGUAGCGGUGGAAUGCGCAGAUAUCAGGAGGAACACCGAUGGCGAAGGCAGGUCUCUGGGCCACUACUGACGCUG
rnacentral:rRNA from 1 species